AAAAUUUUAAUAUUUUCAAAUAUGUUCCUAUAGUUUAUUAGAGAACUAUUUAUAUUUUAACAGCAAAUAAGUAAAAUAUCAAUUUUGCCAUUACAAAUAUGUCCCUCCAAAAAUCACAACAGCAUACAUAAGAGAGGUAAAAAUAUCAAGCUAUCGCAUAAGCUAACCAUGGUUGAAUAUUUAAUCUAUAGUUAAUUAAAUUUUUUUAACGAAUUCUAACAAUAGAGACAUAUUUAAAAAUACUAGAACUUUUGAAAGGAUAACAUAUGAUAAUUGAAUUUUGUAGAAAUAUAUUUAUAAUUCACAUAUUUUCAGGGACUUGUAUGCAAUUAACCGUUAUAAAU
rnacentral:lncRNA from 1 species